AACGAACGCUGGCGGCAGGCUUAACACAUGCAAGUCGAACGCAUCCUUCGGGGUGAGUGGCAGACGGGUGAGUAACGCGUGGGAACGUGCCCUUCAGUUCGGGAUAACCCAGGGAAACUUGGGCUAAUACCGGAUACGUGCGAGAGCAGAAAGAUUUAUCGGUGAAGGAUCGGCCCGGGUGUGAUUAGCUAGUUGGUGGGGUAAUGGCCCACCAAGGCCGCGAUCAGUAGCUGGGUUGAGAGGGUGAUCAGCCACAUUGGGACUGAGAAAAGGCCCAAACUCCUACGGGAGGCAGCAGUGGGGAAUAUUGGACAAUGGGCGCAAGCCUGAUCCAGCCAUGCCGCGUGAGUGAUGAAGGCCUUAGGGUUGUAAAGCUCUUUCGUCCGGGACGAUAAUGACGGUACCGGAAGAAGAAGCCCCGGCUAACUUCGUGCCAGCCGCCGCGGUAA
rnacentral:rRNA from 1 species